AUUCACUCAAUCAACAGAUAUUUAUCAGGACUGGAGCUGGACUCCUUGUAGGUUGUGCAGAAUGUACAUACAGAUGCAUGGAGAGUCACACUGAAGCCAUGCAGCUUCCGGUUGUGACAUCACUAGUGCUGGAGCUCAGUGAGAUUCUCUGGCCCAAUGGUCACAUGCUCCCUCUCCCCCUGGUGUGGUCUUACCUGUAUGAGGAACUCAACCUACUUAGCUCCUUUUAUUUCUCUUGGACUGGGAAACCACAAAAAUCUGGUGGUGGAUCCACCACCAAAUCAUGACUUAAAUUCUGACAUGUCCCUUGCAAAUGGGAGAGAGGAUGAGCAGAAACUCACAUCUGUCAGACACAGUUACCUGUUACCAUCUCUGCUAAAGACCAGGUGGUUGAAGAGCUGGAAAUUAAUGGGAUGCCCUGUCAAGGGCAUUUUCCACCCAAGCCCUGUCCUUCCUGCCAUGGAGAUCUGCCUGUUUCUUCCAAGAUCUAGUGUCUUCAAACCUCCCGACAAUAGGAGAGCAUCCGUAUGUUAUAAUUUUAUUUCGAGUUGUGAGCUUUCCCUUUAUCACCAAAAAGUUCCUGGAAAAACACCAAAUUAGUUCCACUUUACUGAAUAACAGAAUGUGUUUGCCAUCCACUGUAUAUUUUUAACCAAUAGUUGUUUCUGGCCACCUUCUAUUGGUGUUGUAUUGCCCUGUGUUGAAUACUGAAAGAGCAUAUGUCUUAGUCUCUGCCGGUGGUGAAUGUUUGGAGAGAAAAAAUAAGCUCAAAUGGACAAAAUGAGAAAAAUAAAUGCUUUUGUUGUA